rnacentral:SRP_RNA from 1 species
ACUGGUGUGGUAGUACUCAGCUGUAAUCCCAGGUACUCAGGAGGAUCAGGAGUCCUGUGUCCAAGAGUCCUAUGCUGUGGUGCACUAGACCAAUCAGGUGUCCGCACUGAAACUGGCAUCAAUACAGUGACCUCCCAGGAGCAUGGGACCACUGGGUUGCCUAAAGAGGGGUGAACCAGCUUAGGUCAACAAUGGAGCAAAAAAACUCUUGUGCUGGUCAGUAGUGGGAUCAUACCUGUGAAUAGCCACCACACUCCAUCCUGAGCAACAUAGUGAGACCACCAU